rnacentral:lncRNA from 1 species
GUCUGACGACUGUAACAGAAAUAUCACUUACAAUCAUGUGAUGUAUAAUAGGAGUUGAUGUAGAAUCACAAACAUCUUUUUUUUCCAUUUUUUCUUUUUAAUAAAAUUUCUAUUUUCAAUUUUAUCAUUUUUUUUCCAUCGUUCUCUCUUCUACAACUCUACCACCUCCUACACCACCAUUGGCACCUCCAUCUAUACCAUCAC